AAGGUUACCCUUAUGAUGCGUAGAUUAAAAUCGAAGUUUCAACUUAGACUCUAAUUGCGCUGUCGCAUAGAACUGAGAGAACAACAUAUCUGUUAACAUUCAAUCGAGGCUUUCUUUCGAAAUACCCUCCUGAUCACUUACUAUCAGAGCACCAUAUUCCGUGUUAUACUAAACGAAACUGGUACCGUUUGAAUUAUUAGGAGAAUACAUUAUUCUAACUGUAUCAUAGCAACACUCAUUCUUGUUAACAUUCAGUCGGGGCUCUCCACGAGACGUCCCCUUGAUAACAUUUCAUUAUCAAAGCACCAUAUUCCAUUUUAUACUACACGAAACUGGUACCGUCUGAAUAAUUAGGAAGAAUUCACACAGUAGAAUCCUUUAAGAGGAUCUCAUGGUUGGAACAAAGGACAGUCCAGACCAUCAAAAGGAAAUAUGGUUAACGGACUUGUCGUUGAUCUGUUCUAACAGAUCCCGCCAGGAAUGGCACCGGAUGGAUAUCUGACUGAUUUAACAAUCAGACCGAACCUCCGAGGCUCAUUCCACUCACCUUAUCGGACAUCACGAGUCAGUCCGGAGGGGGGCGCCUGGGUUCCAACCAGGAAUUGAGACGUGACUUAUGACCCCAUCAGGGGCUGCCACAGCUCAAUCAGAGAUAGUAAUGGGAUAUUAAAGGUUUUACCCUUUUCACCCCCAUUAAUGCUCUAUUUGACACCAAUAGAAUACUUUAACCACUCAAUAACGAUUGUCGUUUUAACAUUAUUUUGUGCUCAGAAUAUCCUACGGGAGAGAGGGGAAAACCUCUAUCCCUUUGGAGUUUUGCAACUCCAAAUGAUGCCUUUUGAAAUCCCAACAAUAUUUUCUAUAUAAAAAGAAUC
rnacentral:lncRNA from 1 species